rnacentral:rRNA from 1 species
UACGUAGGGUGCAAGCGUUGUCCGGAAUUAUUGGGCGUAAAGAGCUCGUAGGUGGCCUGUCGCGUCGGCUGUGAAAACUCGGGGCUCAACUCCGAGCUUGCAGUCGAUACUGGCAGGCUAGAGUGCGGCAGGGGAGACUGGAAUUCCUGGUGUAGCGGUGAAAUGCGCAGAUAUCAGGAGGAACACCGGUGGCGAAGGCGGGUCUCUGGGCCGAUACUGACACUGAGGAGCGAAAGCGUGGGGAGCGAACAGG